CCAAUCCACGGCUGCGGCCUCAUGGUCUCAUAUUGUUUUGCACGCCGCCUCCAUGUGCCGUCUCCCGUCGGGUUUUCCACCUGGCAACCUGAUAAUUCGCGCUUCCUCUGCAGCUUCGUUUCGUUUCUGUUCUCCAGCGAAAUUGAAUUAUCCUGGAGAGAAUUGCAUGCGUGCACUGCCUACAUAAUGUGUCUUCAUCUCCGUAGCUACUGCUAUGUGUGCAGUGCACUCUUUUGAUUAGGUAUCUCACUCUGUUUGAAUAAUAUAGUGUUGCUAUGUACGCAGAGCACUCUUUGAUUAGGCUCCUCACUCUAUUUAAAUAAUAUAUGUGAUUUCUUAUUGCAAAAACCUAUCAACACCAGAUUAGUGCCAUAUGUGCAACUUUACUUUUGAAAAGAUAAUAUGGUUAGUACAAUAGUAUUCCUCAAUGAUGUUUAGAAGGAACAAUGAGCAUAUUUCAGCUCCCAGUUAAUCCAUCUAAUUAUGAACCUUUUAAAAAAUAAUAUAGAAAUUAACACCUACAAAAUACUUGCUAUGCUUUGAACUACUAGCUUUGAUGCGCUGUCAAUGUUCACCUAUCACCAAUUAUUAAAGUCACGCUCCGGGCUUCAAGAGUGGAAUCGAAAGCAUGCCUUCUUAUUUAGUGCUACUGACAUUCUAGGCCGCCUUCAACAGAUGGAAUUUCAUUUUGGGCCUAUUAUUUUGGUUGGCUGGUGGCUACUAUGUUAUUUGAUCAAUAGCUAUGUAAUUGCUUAUGUAAAUGGAUCAUGGUACGUUCUUUCAUCUUAAGUUUUAUAGAAUCUUUCCUGGGUUCAUUUUGCAGUACACAAGCGUGCAAAUGGCAACAUGGUGUAUUUGCAUCACCUGCACAUUCUGAUUUCUUAUUGCUUACAUGUACAUUACAAAACUGCCUAUUUUAUUGGUUAGUGUAAAAUGUUUAAUUCACGUUCUCUUGUAGAUACAGGGGCGGAGCCAGGCCCCGGGCCAUGGCCCGGGGCGUGAGCCCAAAAUUUUUCUAGCUGCCCUCAAUUUUGUAGCCCAUUUGAAGUAUGGCAGUGGCCCAACAGCCUGUGAUGAGCACUCCAGGCCUCCAGCUCCCGUCUCCUGUCUCCUGUCUCCCGACCUCCACCGCCGCCAGAUCCAGUUUUGGCGUGCCGUCGUCCCCAAUACGGCUGACCCAGCCUCACCGGAGUCACCGCUCGCCUGUUCGCCACUUCGCCGUCGGCUCCUCACCUCCUCCUGACCGGUUGUCGGCUCGGCUGACCUCGUCUCCGGCAGGGGGCAACUCAGCCGCUCAGGCGUGCAGCCGUGCAAGUGCGCCGGCCAGGCGGGGGUGCAGCCGCGGGCGCGCAGCCACACAACGGAGUGCCACCGGCUGCCUUGCUGAUGCGCUGCAGCGCCAUGCCGCCAGCGCGCAGGGGCUCAGGCGCGUAGUGCAUCAGGCCAGCAGCUGCUCAAGCAGUCAAGCGUCAGGGGACACUAGAACAGGCCGGUAGGGGGCAGCUCACCAAGAGUCCAAAAACCAUAGUCCACAGACCAGCACCACUACUAAUGCUAGCGUGCUAGCAUUUGGGUAAGAAAUUGAGGUUGUCUAUGCAUAUUUCAAUAGUGAUUUGUCUAUUCUAAUUCUAUGAACUACGAUGAACCGUUGACAAUGAGCUUAAUUUAUUCAUAGUGACGGUUUCUAUAUGUUA